rnacentral:lncRNA from 1 species
GGAUGGGGAGGCUGGGCUCCAGCGUGCUGCCUUUCUGGCCGGGGUGACGAGCGGAGAGCAUGGCCCCUGGGUCUCCUGGCCGUCAGGUCCACAGGAGGCCGACAGAGCAGCCCCGAAUCACCUCCACUUCUCCACAGCCAGCUCCAAACACGGCAGCUCCCACCCCAGGAUUUGUUCUUGUUUGCUAUAACAAACACCGCGGGAGCCGACCAACAAACCUGUCUCUUCAGAAGAGCCUGGAGUGGCUAGGAGAAAUGGACACCUGGGCAGCUGGACAUUGGGGAAUUUUCUCUUUAAACAAAUCACCUCAAUUUUGCAGUUAUUUGUAUGUGAUACCAACGAACACACAGGAGUGAACACACUUACCUGGAUUACAAGUCUAUGCAGGUAUGUGGAGCUGUCAAAAUUUUACAACCAGGCACACAUGGUGGCACACACCUGUAAUCCCAGCACACUAGGAGGCUGAGGCAGGAGGACUGCACAUUUGAAGCCAGCCUGGGCUACAGAGCGAGUUCAAGGCUGGCCUGAGCUAUACAAUAAGGCUCUGUCUCAAAAAAUAAAACCAGAAGCCAGACGUGGUGGCACACAUCUGUCAUCCCAGCACUCAGGAGGCUGAGGCAGAA